rnacentral:rRNA from 1 species
UACGUAGGUGGCAAGCGUUAUCCGGAUUUAUUGGGCGUAAAGGGAACGCAGGCGGUCUUUUAAGUCUGAUGUGAAAGCCUUCGGCUUAACCGGAGUAGUGCAUUGGAAACUGGGAGACUUGAGUGCAGAAGAGGAGAGUGGAACUCCAUGUGUAGCCGUGAAAUGCGUAGAUAUAUGGAAGAACACCAGUGGCGAAAGCGGCUCUCUGGUCUGUAACUGACGCUGAGGUUCGAAAGCGUGGGUAGCAAACAGG